GACGAACCGUGCGAACGUUGUUCGGAUUCACUGGGCUUAAAGGGCGCGUAGGCGGCUUGCCAAGUCAGGGGUGAAAUCUUUCGGCUCAACCGGAAAAGUGCUUCUGAUACUGGCAGGCUGGAGGGAGGUAGGGGCAGAUGGAACUUCCGGUGGAGCGGUGAAAUGCGUAGAUAUCGGAAGGAACGCCGGUGGCGAAAGCGAUCUGCUGGACCUCUUCUGACGCUGAUGCGCGAAAGCCAGGGGAGCAAACGGG
rnacentral:rRNA from 1 species